UACAGAGGGUGCAAGCGUUAAUCGGAAUGACUGGGCGUAAAGAGCGCGUAGGUGGUUACGUAAGUCAGAUGUGAAAUACCUGGGCUUAACCUGGGGAUGUCAUUUGAUACUGCGUGGCUAGAGUAUGGGAGAGGAAGGUGGAAUUUCCGGUGUAGCGGUGAAAUGCGUAGAUAUCGGAAGGAACAUCGGUGGCGAAGGCGGCCCUCG
rnacentral:rRNA from 1 species